CAGUCGCCGCGGUAAUACGGAGGGUGCGAGCGUUAAUCGGAAUUACUGGGCGUAAAGCGUGCGCAGGCGGUUAUGUAAGACAGAUGUGAAAUCCCCGGGCUCAACCUGGGACCUGCAUUUGUGACUGUAUAGCUAGAGUACGGUAGAGGGGGAUGGAAUUCCGCGUGUAGCAGUGAAAUGCGUAGAUAUGCGGAGGAACACCGAUGGCGAAGGCAAUCCCCUGGACCUGUACUGACGCUCAUGCACGAAAGCGUGGGGAGCAAACAGGAUUAGAUACCCCCGUAGUCCCUGUCUCUUAUAC
rnacentral:rRNA from 1 species